rnacentral:rRNA from 1 species
UACGUAGGUGGCUAGCGUUGUCCGGAUUUACUGGGCGUAAAGAGCGCGCAGGCGGUCGUUCAAGUCGAGUGUGAAAGCCCCCCGGCUCAACUGGGGAGGGUCACUCGAUACUGAUCGACUUGAAGGCAGGAGAGGUGAGUGGAAUUCCGAGUGUAGAGGUGAAAUUCGUAGAUAUUCGGAAGAACACCAGUGGCGAAGGCGACUCACUGGACACGUAUUGACGCUGAGGUGCGAAAGCGUGGGGAGCAAACAGGG